rnacentral:lncRNA from 1 species
CACUGAUAAGUCAAAUCCCGUAGGAUUGACACUGCACACUUCACGCACUUUUCAGGUGUAAUGCCCCAAAGAUCCCGAAAUCUCGAAAUCCAAAAAUCCCAAAAUCCAAAAAUCUCAAAUUUUCUUUAUUUUUGAUUUUGCUAAAAAUUGUGUUUAAUAUUCUUAUCCAAGCGAUAAUUUUAGUAGGUCUUAGUUAUGGAUGAGUUCAAAUUAAGUGGUAGAAGAAAUUAUAAUUUAAUUAUUAAAAGAAUCAGG